CCUGCCGGACCCGACUGCUAUCGGGGUGGGGCUAAGCCAUGCAAGUCUCGGGGCCGAGGCAAUGGUCGGUCCCGGCGCACGGCUGAGUAACACGUGGCUAACCUACCCUCGGGAGGGGGAUAACCCCGGGAAACUGGGGCUAAUACCCCAUAGGCGCAGACACCUGGAAUGGGUCUGCGCCGAAAAGGUUGCGGCGCCAUGCUCGCCGCAAUCGCCCGAGGAUGGGGCUGCGCCCUAUCAGGUAGUUGGCGGGAUAAAGGCCCGCCAAGCCGAUAACGGGUAGGGGCCGUGAGAGCGGGAGCCCCCAGAUGGGCACUGAGACAAGGGCCCAGGCUCUACGGAGCGCAGCAGGCGCGAAACCUCCGCAAUGCGGGAAACCGUGACGGGGUUACCCCGAGUGCCACCCGCUGAGGGUGGCUUUUCCUCGGUGUAAAAAGCCGAGGGAAUAAGCGGGGGGCAAGUCUGGUGUCAGCCGCCGCGGUAAUACCAGCCCCGCGAGUGGUCGGGAUGUUUACUGGGCCUAAAGCAUCCGUAGCCGGCUCAGCAAGUCCUCCCUGAAAUCCUCGGGCUCAACCCGAGGGCUGGGGAGGAUACUGCUGAGCUAGGGGGCGGGAGAGGCCGAGAGUACUCCCGGGGUAGGGGCGAAAUCCUAUAAUCCCGGGAGGACUACCAGUGGCGAAGGCGCUCGGCUGGAACGCGCCCGACGGUGAGGGAUGAAAGCUGGGGGAGCAAAGGGGAUUAGAGACCCCCGUAGUCCCAGCUGUAAACGAUGCAGGCUAGGUGUUGGGCGGACUUCGAGUCCGCCCAGUGCCGCAGGGAAGCCGUUAAGCCUGCCGCCUGGGGAGUACGGCCGCAAGGCUGAAACUUAAAGGAAUUGGCGGGGGAGCACCACAAGGAGUGAAGCUUGCGGUUUAAUUGGAGUCAACGCCGGAAACCUUACCGGGGGCGACAGCUGGAUGAAGGCCAGGCUAACGACCUUGCCGGACUAGCUGAGAGGAGGUGCAUGGCCGUCGCCAGCUCGUGCCGUGAGGUGUCCUGUUAAGUCAGGCAACGAGCGCGACCCCCGCCCCUAGUUGCUACCCAAUCCCUACGGGGAUUGGGGCACUCUAGGGGGACUGCCGGCGCUAAGCCGGAGGAAGGUGGGGGCUACGGCAGGUCAGUAUGCCCCGUUAACCCCCGGGCCACACGCGAGCUGCAAUGGUGGGGACAAUGGGAUGCGACCCCGAAAGGGGAAGCCAAUCCCAUAAACCCCGCCUCAGUAGGAAUCGAGGGCUGCAACUCGCCCUCGUGAACCUGGAAUUCCUAGUAACCGCGUGUCAUCAACGCGCGGUGAAUACGUCCCUGCUCCUUGCACACACCGCCCGUCGCUCCACCCGAGCCGGGUUUGGGUGAGGCUUAGUUCCGUGAGGGGCUAAGUCGAACCUGGACCCGGCAAGGGGGGAGAAGUCGUAACAAGGUAGCC
rnacentral:rRNA from 1 species